rnacentral:rRNA from 1 species
CCUACGGGUGGCUGCAGUGGGGAAUAUUGGACAAUGGGGGGAACCCUGAUCCAGCCAUGCCGCGUGUGUGAAGAAGGCCCUCGGGUUGUAAAGCACUUUCAGUGAGGAAGAACGCCUGGUGGUUAAUACCCAUCAGGAAAGACAUCACUCACAGAAGAAGCACCGGCUAACUCCGUGCCAGCAGCCGCGGUAAUACGGAGGGUGCGAGCGUUAAUCGGAAUUACUGGGCGUAAAGCGCGCGUAGGUGGCUUGAUAAGCCGGUUGUGAAAGCCCCGGGCUCAACCUGGGAACGGCAUCCGGAACUGUCAAGCUAGAGUGCAGGAGAGGAGGGUAGAAUUCCCGGUGUAGCGGUGAAAUGCGUAGAGAUCGGGAGGAAUACCAGUGGCGAAGGCGGCCUUCUGGACUGACACUGACACUGAGGUGCGAAAGCGUGGGUAGCAAACAGGAUUAGAUACCCUUGUAGUC